rnacentral:hammerhead_ribozyme from 1 species
AUCUAACUGAAAAGUCCCAAAUAGGACGAAAUGCGCAUCCUGAAU